AAGUCGUAACAAGGUUUCCGUAGGUGAACCUGCGGAAGGAUCAUUAACAGAAAAGAGGGGCGAGAGUGCAUCAUUGCUCUCUCUCUCUCAUUCAUCCCUGUGAUAUGUGUAUUUACUAUGUGUGUGUGUGUGUGUGUAUGUGUGUGUGCUUAAAUGUGAGUGCACACGCCGCAUACAUGCUUCUUUUUUUUACUCUGUUUUCAUUCUUAUGUGUGUGUAUACCUUGUACCUUCGUUGUACAAAUCAAAAUCAAAAACUGCCAGCAAUGGAUCACUCGGUUCUC
rnacentral:misc_RNA from 1 species